GUUUGCAGGAGGGGCCGCGGUCCUGGGUGGGGGACAGCACGGGCCCUCAGUGGCGCGGCUGCUUCGCCCAGCUGGUCGGCUCGCGGGUGGGCCAGCUUCCUGCCUCUGGAGGGGCAGUGACCGCCACCGUCGGGGGCUGGCUGGAAGUUGUUCGGGGUUGGAGGGCAGAGGUCGGAGGUCGUGUCUUUGGGGAAUGUUGGGGUCCCGCCCAUCUAAGCCUAGGAGCGGGCCGCGCCCCGUUUUGUUUUUGUCAGCGCCCGUUUGGGGACCGCCCUCCUGGCACGGAAGGAGCGCUGAGGGAAACUGAGGCCUGGGAGCAGCCGGGGCCCCUCGCAGGCCCCGAGCUCUGACGGGGAGGCCGGCCGGUCCUCAGGCGCCCGCCGCCUCCCUCCUCCGGGCCCGUGGGUCUGUAGGGUGCGCGUUGGAGGGGGUGGGCGGCACGGCCGCGGGGGGGCCACCGGCUGUCCCCGAAGCCCCCCCCCCCGGGCUCUGAUGCCAGCUCUUUCGGAGGCUGUCAUUCCCCGUGUUUGAGAUUUCGUGUCUGGAACCUCAUUCGGACAGUUUGGAGAGGGGAGAGGGGGUAGUGUGGCUUUGGCACUUGGCAGGAGGUGAAAAUAAAAACCAGACGUGGGAUGUAACGAAGGCAGAGGGACCUGCGAGAAACUGGACGAAUUUCUUAGCUCGACAAGGAUUUUCUCCCCAACUUGCCCCGCAUACUGUGUAAUUCAAGCUUUCAGCACUUGAAAUCGAGAGUAUUGUGCUCUCCUAGAUCUCAUAAGCAAGAGCCCUAAGUCUUGACCUUCUUGGUGAGGAUACUUUGGAAUGUGUAAAGUAAUGAACAAGAAUUGUUUUGUCCAAAGUUCCGAGUUAAGAUUCACAGAACAGGGAGGGUGGGAACCUCUCUGCUUGGUGGGGGCGGGGGGGGGGGGGGAUCUUGGUAGCUUCUCUACUCCUCUGACACCCAAAUGGAAGUUUCUUUAUCUGUAUGGGUUUUGGGGAGACACGGCUCUGGAUGAGGAAUAAGAGGGAAAGAGGGAUUCUUUUUUUAUUUUAUUCUUUUUUUUUUAUUUUUGAGAGAGAGAAACAGCACGAGCGGGGGAGGGGCAGAGAGAGAGAAGGAAACAGAGAAUGGAAGCAGGCUGCAGGCUCUGAGCUGUCAGCACAGAGCCCGACACGGGGCUGGAACUCACAGACCUCAAGAUCAUGACCUGAGCUGAAGUCAGACCCCUAACCGACUGAGCCACCCAGGUGCCCCGCGAUUCUUUUCAUUUUCUAUGCAGAAAGUGUGCAAUUAGGCAAUUACCUGUCCCUCACCCUCCAUCUGAGCUAGCGUAAAACACAUCCUUUUUUGUACUGACGGUAUAUGUCGAGUAUUUAUAGUGGAAGGGGAUGGGAGUAAUUUCUCUAGCAAUAAGUCCUUUACCUGUACUGUAGCCGCAAGAGGAAUGGAUGUGCCUUGUGUGGAAUUAACCCUGGGGUUUGGUUUUCAGUUAAGAAAAUGAGGCAGAAGGAAGUGUUAACCAAGACCUUCCAAGGCCCAGCCAUUGUCUGUAGGACUCCGACCAGCCACGUUUACAUGUUUGAGAACGGUGGUGGGGACUCAGGGGACUCCUCUGAGGAAGAGUCCCACCGCGUGGCUCUGCGGCCCCGGGGCAAGGAGCGCCAGAAGAAGGGUGCCCCCCACCCUCACCAGCCAGGAGCGGGGGACGUGGUGCUGCUUCAGCGGGAACUGGCCCAGGAGGACAGCCUCAACAAGCUCGCUCUUCAGUAUGGCUGCAAAGUCGCAGAUAUCAAGAAAGUCAACAACUUCAUCAGAGAACAAGAUUUAUAUGCUUUGAAAUCUAUUAAGAUCCCAGUGAAAAAUCAUGGGAUCCUAACAGAGACCCACAAAGAACUCAGACCCGUCCCAAGCCCAUCCUCAGAGACUAGAGUGACCUUCGAGGAGCUGCCAGACCCAGACAGGGCAGCUGUAGGCGCCAGUGCCCUGUCCAGCCCACUGACGGAUUUCUUUAAGGGCAUUGACCAGAAUAUUGAGCGCGCCGUGCAGUCAGAAAUCUUUUUAAAUGAAAGUUGCUGUGGAGAGACCUCCAGUCAGCCGCUGCUUCCAGCGCCUCCGAAGACACCAACAAACGGUGCAGACUGUGGGAUUCAGUGGUGGAAUGCUGUUUUUAUCAUGCUUCUAAUUGGGAUUGUUUUACCAGUGUUUUAUUUGGUCUAUUUUAAAAUACAGGCUACUGGCGAGAUCCCCAGCAGCUUGAACACAACUACUGUCCCCAAUGGCUCGAUGACCGUGAGUGCAGUUCCAGGGCAAGCCCCCAGAUUAGCCGUCCCAGUGCCAACCAUCCCCUCUUCAGACAGCCAGUUCAGUCACACCACCCGGGCAGGGAACUAGCCAUCGUUGUUCCUAAAGUAUCCGGCCAGUGUCAGCAUUUGACCUCCUAACAUGCAUCACCUGCCAUCAGCCAGAGCCUUGGGGGCCGCAUUUCCUUUUCUGUGACAUACGGACACGUUUCAGAAAACACCAUUGUGUUCUCAGUAACACUCACCUUGGGGAGUAGGCUCGCCUAACCCAAGGCUGUGGGAGCGAAAACACCAGCACCCUCAGCCUCCUACAUCCAGAAGUUAACAGCAAGAGAAACAUUUUCACGUGGCAGGUGCCACUUCUUGAAGAUCUUCUGGUCUCUCCCUCUCAUCCACUAAAGACUUCAGCACCUGUUCUCAUUCUUGGAUCCAUGUAGAUCAGCGCCUUCCCAUGUUUUUGAGGUCAUUAUCAUAUAGAUAAAAUAAUAAAAAUUAUGUACAGCACUGUGGAGGGGAUUUGAUGAUCUUUGUGGGCUCUAAUAAGUGUUACAGAUAGACAGAGGGGUAAUAACUGAGGAGUUUGGUUCUGUCAGGUUUUUGAAAUGGGUGAUCAAAAGGCAUGCUUUUAUGCUGAUGAGAAAGAUGUAGGAGGGAGGUAGAAAUUGCUGCUACCAGAGAGGGGAUAGUUUCAGGGGUGAAGACAUUGAGGGGGAGAGAGGUGAUGGGUUCCAAUAUACAACAUGAAAGUCUUGGCCAUAGAUAAGAGCAGAGAGUCCAUCCAUUGCACCUGGAGGGAAGGCAGAGCACAUGGGUACAGAUGCAGGUAGAUUCCUGGAUUUCAUGGUGGGAAGAUCAGGUAGGUCUCAUUUGAUUGCAUCUAUGUUUUCAAUGGAAAAUGUGACAGGAAGUAAUAAGCUGGCAAGAAAAAGAGGUAGUCUUGGAGGUUCGAAUAGAGAAAGAGUAAAAUACAGUUGAUCCUUGAACAUGGGGAUUAGGGGCACUGACCCCCAGCAAGUCGAAAAUCCUUGUAGAACAUGACUACCCCAAAACUUAACUACUAAUAGCCUACUGUUGACUAGAAGCCUUACUGAUAACACAGUUGAUUAACACAUAUUUUGUAUAUGUAUUAGUAUAUACACUGUAUUCUUACAAUAAAGUAAGCUUGAGAAAAUGUUAAGAAAAUCAUGAAGAGAAAAUACAAUUACAUCAUUGUACUGUAUUUAUUGAGAAAAGUCCAUGUAGAAGUGGACCUCCUUGAGUUCAAACUCAUGUUAUUCAAGGGUCAAAUGUAGUGAUGUCAGAAAAUGAGGACGUCAACAAUACUAGGGGAUUGUAGUUGCAUUUUGGGGCAGUGUUGAGAGCCUUUUAAAAUUUGUGGUCAUGAUAGAAUAAAAAUAGGAAACACAGAAUUAAACCCAAAUACAUAAAGAAAUUUAAUAUAUGCUGUCAAUGUAGCAUCUCAAAUCAAUGGGAUAAAGAUGAACUUUUUAAUAAAUGGCUGUUGGACAACUAGAUAGCCAUUUGGAGAAUAUAAGACCCAUACCUAAGAAUAAACUCCAAAUGGGUUUUUAGGAAUCUAAAUAUAAAAGAUGAAACUAUACUAAUACUAGAAGAAAACAUUGGUGAUUCCUCUCUAACUUUGGUGUAGGGAAAAGGAUCCUAAAUUUAACUCAAAAUUCAUAAUAAAAGCUUGAUAAAUUUGACUAUAUAAAAUAAUAAAAUUUUGCCUGACAAAAGUAUCACAAAAAGCCAACUGACA